ensembl:lncRNA
UUGAGACCACCUGCUGGGUGCAGGGGCGCUUGUUUUGGGGGCGAAGAGCAUUUGGGUUGGGGAUCGGAACUUGGAUACAUUUUCUGUUACUUAUUUAUUUUUCAGAACAUACACCCCCUCCCCCACCCCAAUCAAUCUGGUGAGGUCUAGCCUGGGGGCUGCAACUCUCCAAGCCCCUCACAAGCCACUCAUUCCAUGUUCCUGAUCGUCCUCUCAUCUCCAUCAAGCCUUGAUCCUCAUCUUCCCAUCCUCAUCCCACCCUUCCCAUUAUUCCCCCAUCCCUAUCCCCAGUUACAGCAACCCAGUCUUGUGGAGAGGAAGCUGCAUCUACUUAAAAUAAAAAUUUUGGCCUCCGCCAGCCAGAGGAAGAACCAACUCCAUGCCAAGGUCUGGUACAAGGAUAAUCAUGUGCAGAGGUGGACUUUCCUGCGAAGAAGCCUCCUAGAACACAGGCAGAUGGAUACACAUGCUGGCCAUGGCCUCUGCUGUGGACGAGAAAAGACACCAGACCUCCAGACUCCAACUCAGCCGGGACAUCCAGAACCCUGCCAGGAGCCUCGGAUCCAGGAUAGACGUUUGCCUCCCACCAUGCGAGACUUUGAGUCAGAUCAAAAGGCCUGGAAGCAGCGAUGCCACCCCAGCUGGGCAGUUUGGCCCCUGUGCCAGGAGUGUGGCUAAGCUUGGCAAAUCAAUCGACCCAGACCUUCUUCCCCUCUGAGGGAAGAAGGCAACUGCUGUCUCCAUCCCAGCGCACAAUGACAAGGCCAUGCCCAGCAGGGUGGAUAAAUACAUGUUGCCUGCCUUGGGCCCGCUCCAGUCGGUGACCCUUGGGAUAAGGACAUUAGGUACGGGAAGCACCUGGCAGCUUGUAUCCUCAACUCUUCCAGCUUGGACAAAGCAGAGGUGACAUCCCCACAUGUUGUUAGUGUGACCUCACUGGAUUAAGGGCUGACCCAGAAGGUGGGAAAACUUGUUGACCGUCACCUCCUCAGCUGUGCUGAGGGACAGGCUGAGGGAGGAGUCGAGGGCAUCUUUCCCACUACCUAAUAUUUGCUCAAUAAGCCUUUUCCAGCCUUUCCAGCCAUGGCUUUCCACCAGCAAAGUCCUCUCCCAUACCAGAAAACAUAGACUUUUAUCUUCCUGUGACACCAAGACAUCCAGAAGGGUGGGCCAUGGACCAGCUUUCACUCUGCAAGCCAGAGAGGUUUGGAAAGGACCUUAAAGACCAUCUCAUUCCAUGAUGUUGCAGAGGUCUGAGAUGACCUUGUGGAUGGCCUGAAGCAUCCCAGCCAGCCCCUUGACCAGCCUCCUUGCCCUGGGGCAAGGUGAGAGAGCCCAUCACUGAACUGGCCAUGGUGGGGGGAGGAGCCAGGAGACCCCUCCUAGCUUCUCCCCUGCAGGUCUCGGGAGGGUGCUGAACUGCACCCCAAAAGCAGGGUGAAGAGCUGAUGGCGAAGAACAAGCAAUUAUGCUGCUUUUUCAGGUGCAGAUUCAGCCCGUGCAAUAGUGGCACCAAAUCUGGGCCACUGCAUCUCUGGGCAGACCAAGAUGGCACCACCAGAGGCUAUGGUGUACAGUCUCCACACCCUCACUCACCCUAGGAUCUGGAAAAUCUUUUGGAUGUUCAGCUUGGAGAUGAGGAACCUUAUCAGGAUGCAGAGUGCAAGGAGGAGGUUGA